CAACUCGACUACAUGAAGCUGGAAUCGCUAGUAAUCGCAGAUCAGAAUGCUGCGGUGAAUACGUUCCCGGGUCUUGUACACACCGCCCGUCACACCAUGGGAGUCGGAUAUGCCCGAAGCCAGUGACCCAACCGUAAGGAGGGAGCCGUCGAAGGUGGAGCCGAUAACUGGGGUGAAGUCGUAACAAGGUACC
rnacentral:rRNA from 1 species